rnacentral:pre_miRNA from 1 species
GUAGUCGGAUUUACAUCAAUUCACAUGUGUUGAGGUGGAUUGGAGUGGAACAUGAACUAAAUUCCACCCCAGUCCACACCAACACACAUGGAUUGAAGUGAAUCCGACA